GCCAGAUCACAUUGAAACACCGGUUUUCAUACAAUCACCAAAAUUAAGCAAUGUUGAGCCUGGUCAGUACUUAGAUGGGUGACCGCUUGGGAAUACCAGGUGCUGUAAG